GAUUAAGAACGUAGCGAAAUGCGAUAAGUAGUGUGAAUUGCAGAAUUCAGUGAAUCAUCGAAUCUUUGAACGCACAUUGCGCCCCUUGGUAUUCCAUGGGGCAUGCCUGUUCGAGCGUCAUCUACACCCUCAAGCUCUGCUUGGUGUUGGGCGUCUGUCCCGCCCCCGCGCGUGGACUCGCCCCAAAUCCAUUGGCAGCGUUCCUUGCCCCCUCUCGCGCAGCACAUUGCGCUUCUCGAGGGCGGCUCCGGGACGCGAUCCAGCAAGAUGACCACCGUCUUUGACCUCGGAUCAGGUAGGGAUACCCGCUGAACUUAAGCAUAUCAAUAAGCGGAGGA
rnacentral:misc_RNA from 1 species